rnacentral:rRNA from 1 species
AACGACUCUCGGCAACGGAUAUCUCGGCUCUCGCAUCGAUGAAGAACGUAGCGAAAUGCGAUACUUGGUGUGAAUUGCAGAAUCCCGUGAAUCACCGAGUCUUUGAACGCAAGUUGCACCCAAAGCCUUUAGGCUGAGGGCACGUCUGCCUGGGCGUCA